UUUUUUCGCAAACAACUUUUUAUUAGACUGCUAUUCUAAUUUAUGGGUUUAUUUUGUAUUGAAAAUGAUUCAGCAGAAAAAAUACCGUCUUCUGUAACAAUUGCGUUUAUGAACUUGGGGGGGAUUACGUCGUAGCAAGGGAUAAAUGUAGCUAUUUGCGGUUUAGGUAAACUUUCCGAGUUUUCUGGAACAUAUUGGAGGUUAUCAGAUAUGCCUUGUUCAACGACUUCGUUGAAAACUGUUGAAUACUCAAAGUAAUUCUUUUCGCAUAGUUUAUAUGAUUCUGAAACGAUCAUUACAGGAAUGUGGUGUAUAUUUGCAAGCAUUGCAACAAGUGAUGAUCCAGAACGAUUCAUUACAUAUCCAUUAGAAAAUAUUGCACAAGAACCAAUAAUUACUUUGGUUGCGUACCUCAAAUGGUAGGCCAAACAAUUAAGUAAUGUAUAGGUUAUUUUUAUCCCCUUUAGAGAUAGUUUUUUAGCAAUGUCUUGACUACUGGAAUCAAGGUUGUUCUUUGAAUCAACGACAAUUAGUUGAAAGUUCUUGUUCAUUUCUGCAGCCUUAAAUAAUGAUUUGAUUACAGAGCUAGAAUUGGAAUAUGUAACUAUUACAUCGCCGUCAGUAAUAUAUUUGUUUGAAACUAAAUAUGAAAUUCUUUCACAUGCGUUCACAAUUCUUUGAUAAAUAUAAGUUUUUAUACUAGAAAUUAGUUGGUUUAUUAUUUCAUUUGGUGGGAGAGAUGGAUUAAUUUUGCAUAUUUGUUUUUUUAGCCAUUUAAUCACGUUCCCCAUCGCAAUGUUAUGUUGUCUCUGCGAUGUUAUAUAUGAGAUAUGCACGUCUAAAACCAUCUUUAAAUGCUUUUCAAUACUUUUGUAUGGAGGACAGUAAUAAUCCUCAAGCAUUUGCCCAAUGGCAAUUAGCAGGCAUUUACUCCUCAUAUUUGUACCAACAAUUUUCCUGUCUUUCAUUCUCAUUCCCAAUCUCAAAAUAGCAGGAUGGAUUUUAGACUGAUCCAGUAUCGAAAUAAAAGAGUGUGAAAUGGAAUUCCUACCGAAGUAUGGGCAUAUAGGACAAUUAAAUAUGUUUUGUACAAC
rnacentral:antisense_RNA from 1 species